GAUGAACGCUGGCGGCGUGCCUAAUACAUGCAAGUCGAGCGAACAGACGAGGAGCUUGCUCCUCUGACGUUAGCGGCGGACGGGUGAGUAACACGUGGAUAACCUACCUAUAAGACUGGGAUAACUUCGGGAAACCGGAGCUAAUACCGGAUAAUAUAUUGAACCGCAUGGUUCAAUAGUGAAAGACGGUUUUGCUGUCACUUAUAGAUGGAUCCGCGCCGCAUUAGCUAGUUGGUAAGGUAACGGCUUACCAAGGCAACGAUGCGUAGCCGACCUGAGAGGGUGAUCGGCCACACUGGAACUGAGACACGGUCCAGACUCCUACGGGAGGCAGCAGUAGGGAAUCUUCCGCAAUGGGCGAAAGCCUGACGGAGCAACGCCGCGUGAGUGAUGAAGGUCUUCGGAUCGUAAAACUCUGUUAUUAGGGAAGAACAAAUGUGUAAGUAACUAUGCACGUCUUGGCGGUACCUAAGCAGAAAACCACGGCUAACUACGU
rnacentral:rRNA from 1 species